rnacentral:lncRNA from 1 species
CACCCCAAUAAAUUUACAAAAAGAAGCAUUCAAUUCUUAAUUAUAAUUCAUAUUGAACAAAAUUACCUUUUCAAAAAAAAAUAUUCUGUUAAUGAUUUGGUUCUUCAGGUGAUUUUCAAAUCACUUGCAUUGAUUUUCUCAGAUUUUGUUGCCUUAUAUAUCAACAGGUGAGAUUGAAAAACACAAACACAGAUCUAGUGCAACAGUUACAUUGUCUAUUGAAGAGCCUUUGUGACUAAAAAAUACAUGGUUCAAGUCAAAUAUUUGAAGUCUUAUACAUAACAGUGAUGUGCCUGCUAUCAAAUAUUUAUUGACAUAAUGACGCUUUUUGACGCCACCCCCUUUCCUCCAUAAUGACGCCUUUUGACGCCUGUGUAGUACCUCAGUUGAAAUGCUUUGACUACAAAAUGUCUGCAUCAGACUUAAAAAAAUUUGUAUCCAAUAUCAAAAGGACAUUGAUAAGAAUAUCUGACUUGAAUUUCAUUGAUGAAAUAUUUGUCUUCACAAUGCAUUAAUACUUUAAACCUGAUAAUUUUUUUUUAUUAAAAAAAUCCUAUGCGAAUCAAGUUUGUGAGAGAAAAAAAUCCAUGGAGGAAAGGGUUAAAGCUCGUUAUUGCCAUUAUCAAUGCAUCAUGUGGAUUCAUUUAUUUAUGUGGAUUUAAAGAAAUAAUGUAUGUUCGUGCAUAUUAAAUAUCCAAGGAUAUCUUACACAAUUUUAAUCUAGACUUAAAAAGUCAGUUUAUCUAUCUAUUUCUAAAUGUGAAACCCAUUGAUGCCAUUUCAGGCUUUUUUAGUGCAGUAAUAAAUUGACAAUAUUGUUGUCUGUAAUAUAAAAUUUCAAUAUCUCAAUGGAAUCAAGAAAACAAAGCAAAACUUAAUACAUCUGAGCUUAAAAUGCAAAAUAUGUUGGUUUACAUAUCAAAAUGAUGCAAUGUUUUCAUGACUUUUGUUGAUUGUCAUUAAGUUUUGCAAUUAAAUCAGAUAACAUAUUAGACAUGACCGUAUAACACUUUAUUUCAAUACACUAAUCCAUAACAUUAUAG